rnacentral:misc_RNA from 1 species
AACGCACAUUGCGCCCCCUGGCAUUCCGGGGGGCAUGCCCGUUCGAGCGUCAUUAAAUCCAAUCAAGCCUGGCUUGGUAUUGGGCGUCGGGGUCUCCCGCGCCUCAAUUUCACCGGCGGGCCGUGGUCUGUCUUUUAACGUUGUGACGCAUAUUCGUUAAAAGCAGGCGCGGACUCCGCCGUCAAACUAAACAAAUUCCUCGGGAGAUUUGAUUAAGGUUGACCUCGGAUCGGGUAGGAAUACCCGCUGAACUUAA